rnacentral:lncRNA from 1 species
CUCAGUUACUAGCCGAUUCUCUUGUGUAAGGGUGUUCCAUUGGGUAAAAAUUUAAUGAUCUAAGCAACCAUCGAAAGUAGGAAUAUCUAAGUCAAUGUCUCUAAAGAAACGCUCCUUACGACGAGGAAGAGAAUGAGUACCAUGAUGAUCAUGGCCUUGUUUUCGCUCACAAACCUGAUCCCUAUUCCUACGAUCGCGUCGAAAAUAUUCUUGAUCACUUUGUCCAUGAUGAUAUUGUCUAUUAUGAGACGCUUCAGAAUUAGUGUCAGUCAAACGAGGGGUUCGCUUAAAAUUGCUCAACUUAGCAGCUAGGAUCUUUCUCUCUUCACGAGUAGCAGUUAUAUCUAAUUGGACGGUCGAUAGACUAGUGGAAAGUUGCGCUAAUUGUCUAGUGAGUGCAUCAAAUUGGGAUGGAUCCAUGGUCAAUGUAUUGGAAAUAGAGACGACAAGACGACCACUACGCAACUACAUGCAAUGUAAUACCAGCUAAAUGAUGUGCUAUGAUGAGAUUAGUGAACAAUACGUGCAAGCAAUGGAAAAUAACUUAUACCAAUUUUUUUUUAAUUUAAUUUUAAAUAUUGGGAUUAAUUAAAUCCAAAACAAGCUAAUACUGCUGGUACAUGUAAAAUGGCAAAGCAAGGGUCAAACACACUAGUCAAAUUCUCCAAUCAAUUUAAGUGGGGAACAAUGGAAGUCAAUUCAGUCACUGGUGUCAAUUCGAUUAAUGGUUUCGAUCAAGUGGGGUUUAAGGCUAAAAUUAUCAUGAUAACAGCAACAUAAAUAGAGAUCAAGGACUCUCUGUUGUUUAGUUUUGAUUAUUUGUAUGCCGAUUGAUUUGAAUUGCCGACUUAUGAGCCCUAACUAUGCUUCUGUUCUUCCCUUUGUAUCCAAUGGUUUUAGCCCCCGUAGACUAUAACUUGUGCUGGUUCUGGUGUGGACGUAAAAUUGUGUGUAGUGACUGUGGCUUUUAGAUUGUUGAGAUGGACGAGAAAAUAUAUGAGUGUGGUAAUUGUGGUGGAAGUGUAUGAUCUUGGGUUGGUGGUGGUGGCCUAUGGCGAUGAAGCGGUAGUGCUCUGGAUGCCUGGGUACAAUAGAUAAUGAAGUGGUGGCGUGAUGGUAAUUAGAGGCGGCAGCGGCAAGAGAGUGGUUGUGAGAGAGAAAUCGGGUGAAAUUGUGGGGUAUUUGAUGUUAAUGGAUUGGCUAUAAUCGGACUUGGUUGGAUAUUUGGGACUGAUUAUGGGUUGAAUGGUGUUGGGCCGAUUGUGAUAAUAUGUGAUAUGUGGGUUGGAUUUAGUGUUUAU